rnacentral:rRNA from 1 species
CCUACGGGUGGCUGCAGUGAGGAAUAUUGGUCAAUGGUCGGGAGACUGAACCAGCCAAGCCGCGUGAGGGAGGAAGGUACAGAGUAUCGUAAACCUCUUUUGUCAGGGAACAAAGACUGGGACGCGUCCCCGGAUGAGUGUACCUGAAGAAAAAGCAUCGGCUAACUCCGUGCCAGCAGCCGCGGUAAUACGGAGGAUGCGAGCGUUAUCCGGGUUUAUUGGGUUUAAAGGGGGCGCAGGCGGUCUGGUAAGUCAGCGGUCAAAGCCCGGGGCUCAACCCCGGCCCGCCGUUGAAACUGGCAGUCUUGAGUUGGAGAGAAGUAUGCGGAAUGCGCGGUGUAGCGGUGAAAUGCAUAGAUAUCGCGCAGAACUCCGAUUGCGAAGGCAGCAUGCCGGCGCCAGACUGACGCUGAGGCACGAAAGCGUGGGGAUCGAACAGGAUUAGAUACCCGGGUAGUC